UACGUACCGUACGAACGUUAUUCGGAAUUACUGGGCUUAAAGGGUUUGUAGGCGGCUUUGUAAGUCAGGUGUGAAAUCCCUCGGCUCAACCGAGGAAUGGCGCUUGAUACUGCAAGGCUUGAGGGAGACAGGGGUAAGCGGAACUGAUGGUGGAGCGGUGAAAUGCGUUGAUAUCAUCAGGAACACCGGUGGCGAAAGCGGCUUACUGGGUCUCUUCUGACGCUGAGGAACGAAAGCUAGGGGAGCGAACGGG
rnacentral:rRNA from 1 species